AGAGGAUGGAUGCUGGUGCCUGAGCUCCUGCUAAACCAAGCCUGCCCUGAGCCCGGUACCCUGAGGAGGAGUCGAGCCCUCCCAUGCACCCAUAUCCUGAGGAGCCGAUGCUGGUGGACCCCCCUGCUGAAGCCCCGAUGAUAUAGGUGACCCUGAUCCUAAUUAGCUGCCUGCAGCCUAGAACUCCCCUAUUUGCUGCCUUAUUAGCAACUUGGUGAAGCAAGUGAGAGAAUCAAGAGUAAGCAGGACAAAAAGUCAGGCAUGAGGCUCUGCUGACUCAAGGUAAAAUUCCCCUGGUUUCUCCAGAAUAGGUUUCCUCAGCAGGGGACACUGGGUCAUCUUAGACUUCUCUGAAACAUUGCUGUGAAUUGCAGACGUCCUCCAAAACACACUUAAAACAAGGAAGUUUCCAGAUGAGCCCCAAACUCUUCCAAGAGCACGCAUCAAGAUCAAGGGCUACGUUUUUGUGCACUGAAUAAAAUUGUGAUACUUCACUGGAACAAUGUUUUAAAGGGAGCUCAUCAACUCAAAACCUACACUUCUGUCUGAAAAUGUAAAAAUAGUUUAUUUAAAACAAAUAACCCCCUAAAAUUAUUGUAACUGAAAGAGGAAAAAAAUAUAUUUCUUUCUAUUG